UGUCACCUCAGUGCGCGCAUGACGUGCCCAGCGGCCCAGGCCAGCCUAGAUAUGCGUGUGUGUGUGUGGGAUUUUCUGCCUCCUCCACAUGAUGACCUCUGUGCGCAUGUGCUCACAGAGCGGGCUCUGAGUGCCACCUCUGGCAAGCGUGACAUAGGUUCGCCACCACUGCUAUAAAUCCUUUUACAGCAUUUUAA